CCUACGGGGUGCUGCAGUGGGGAAUAUUGGACAAUGGGCGAAAGCCUGAUCCAGCCAUGCCGCGUGUGUGAAGAAGGCCUUCGGGUUGUAAAGCACUUUCAGUGGGGAAGAAAGCCUUGGGGCUAAUACCCUCGAGGAAGGACAUCACCCACAGAAGAAGCACCGGCUAACUCCGUGCCAGCAGCCGCGGUAAUACGGAGGGUGCGAGCGUUAAUCGGAAUUACUGGGCGUAAAGCGCGCGUAGGCGGUCUGAUAAGCCGGUUGUGAAAGCCCCGGGCUCAACCUGGGAACGGCAUCCGGAGGGGUGGGGGAAGAGGGAGAGAGGGAAGUGAAGAAUUCCGGGUGUAGCGGGGAAUGGAGAAGAGUCCGGGAGAAAUAGAAGGGGGGAGGGGGGCCUUCUGGACUGACACGGACGCGGAGGGGAAAAGGGGUGGGUAGCAACAAGGAUGAGAGACCCUAUAGGUC
rnacentral:rRNA from 1 species